CGGGACGGGGUGAGUAAUGUCUGGGAAACUGCCUGAUGGAGGGGGAUAACUACUGGAAACGGUAGCUAAUACCGCAUAACGUCGCAAGACCAAAGAGGGGGACCUUCGGGCCUCUUGCCAUCGGAUGCGCCCAGAUGGGAUUAGCUAGUAGGUGGGGUAACGGCUCACCUAGGCGACGAUCCCUAGCUGGUCUGAGAGGAUGACCAGCCACACUGGAACUGAGACACGGUCCAG
rnacentral:rRNA from 1 species